GGGGUCUUGGCGCCCCGACCUUCGGUGGCUAAUUUUUGGGCGCGGCUGUGCCCGUGGCCUAUUUUUGGCACACUGAGGCCGCCCGCAAAGUCUGGGGCCAUUCCGAGUCCGGCGGACGAACUUCGCCCACGCCCCCAACGAGGCUAUAGCCCACCCGUUUUUUGGCCAUUUUUCCGCUGGGGGGUCUUGGCAGCCCGACCUUCGGGGGCUAAUUUUUUGGCGCGGCUGUGACCGUGGCCUAUUUUUGGCACACGGAGGCCGCCCGCAAAGUCUGGGGCCAUUCCGAGUCUGGCGGACGAACUUCGCCCACGCCCCCCGCCAAGGCUAUAGCCCACCCGUUUUUUGGCCAUUUUUCCGCUGGGGGGUCUAGGCGCCCCGACCUUCGGGGGCUAAUUUUUGGACGCGGCAGUGCCCGUGGCCUAUUUUUGGCACACGGAGGCCGCCCGCAAAGUCUGGGGCCAUUCCGAGUCCGGCGGACGAACUUCGCCCACGCCCCCCGCCAAGGCUAUAGCCCACCCGUUUUUUGGCCAUUUUUCCGCUGGGGGGUCUUGGCACCCCGACCUUCGGGGGCUAAUUUUUGGGCGCGGCUGUGCCCGUGGCCUAUUUUUGGCACACGGAGGCCGCCCGCAAAGUCUGGGGCCAUUCCGAGUCCGGCGGACGAACUUCGCCCACGACCCCAACCAGGCUAUAGCCCACCCGUUUUUUGGCCAUUUUUCCGCUGGGGGGUCUUGGCGCCCCGACCUUCGGGGGCUAAUUUUUGGGCGCGGCUGUGCCCGUGGCCUAUUUUUGGCACACGGAGGCCGCCCGCAAAGUCUGGGGCCAUUCCGAGUCCGGCGGACGAACUUCGCCCACGCCCCCAACCAGGCUAUAGCCCACCCGUUUUUUGGCCAUUUUUCCGCUGGGGGGUCUUGGCGCCCCGACCUUCGGGGGCUAAUUUUUGGGCGCGGCUGUGACCGUGGCCUAUUUUUGGCACACGGAGGCCGCCCGCAAAGUCUGGGGCCAUUCCGAGUCCGGCGGACGAACUUCGCCCACGCCCCCCGCCAAGGCUAUAGCCCACCCGUUUUUUGGCCAUUUUUCCGCUGGGGGGUCUAGGCGCCUCAACCUUCGGGGGCUAAUUUUUGGGCGCGGCAGUGCCCGUGGCCUAUUUUUGGCACACGGAGGCCGCCCGCAAAGUCUGGGGCCAUUCCGAGUCCGGCGGACGAACUUCGCCCACGCCCCCCGCCAAGGCUAUAGCCCACCCGUUUUUUGGCCAUUUUUCCGCUGGGGGGUCUUGGCACCCCGACCUUCGGGGGCUAAUUUUUGGGCGCGGCUGUGCCCGUGGCCUAUUUUUGGCACACGGAGGCCGCCCUCAAAGUCUGGGGCCAUUCCGAGUCCGGCGGACGAACUUCGCCCACGACCCCAACCAGGCUAUAGCCCACCCGUUUUUUGGCCAUUUUUCCGCUGGGGGGUCUUGGCGCCCCGACCUUCGGGGGCUAAUUUUUGGGCGUGGCUGUGCCCGUGGACUAUUUUUGGCACACGGAGGCCGCCCGCAAAGUCUGGGGCCAUUCCGAGUCCGGCGGACGAACUUCUCCCACGCCCCCAACAAGGCUAUAGCCCACCCGUUUGUUGGCCAUUUUUCCGCUGGGGGGUCUUGGCAGCCCGACCUUCGGGGGCUAAUUUUUUGGCGCGGCUGUGCCCGUGGCCUAUUUUUGGCACACGGAGGCCGCCCGCAAAGUCUGGGGCCAUUCCGUGUCCGGCGGACAAACUUCGCCCACGCCCCCCCGCCAAGGCUAUAGCCCACCCGUUUUUUGGCCAUUUUUCCGCUGGGGGGUCUAGGCGCCCCGACCUUCGGGGGCUAAUUUUUGGGCGCGGCUGUGCCCGGGGCCUAUUUUUGGCACACGGAGGCCGCCCGAAAAGUCUGGGUCCAUUCCGAGUCCGGCGGACGAACUUCGCCCACGCCCCCCGCCAAGGCUAUAGCCCACCCGUUUUUUGGCCAUUUUUCCGCUGGGGGGUCUUGGCAGCCCGACCUUCGGGGGCUAAUUUUUGGGCGCGGCUGUGCCCGUGGCCUAUUUUUGGCACACGGAGGCCGCCCGCAAAGUCUGGGGCCAUUCCGAGUCCGGCGGACGAACUUCGCCCACGCCCCCAACAAGGCUAUAGCCCACCCGUUUUUUGGCCAUUUUUCCGCUGGGGUGUCUUGGCGGCCCAACCUUCGGGGGCUAAUUUUUGGGCGCGGCUGUGCCCGUGGCCUAUUUUUGGCACACGGAGGCCGCCCGCAAAUUCUGGGGCCAUUCCGAGUCCGGCGGACGAACUUCGCCCACGCCCCCAACCAGGCUAUAGCCCACCCGUUUUUUGGCCAUUUUUCCGCUGGGGGGUCUUGGCGCCCCGACCUUCGGGGGCUAAUUUUUGGGCGCGGCUGUGACCGUGGCCUAUUUUUGGCACACGGAGGCCGCCCGCAAAGUCUGGGGCCAUUCCGAGUCCGGCGGACGAACUUCGCCCACGCCCCCCGCCAAGGCUAUAGCCCACCCGUUUUUUGGCCAUUUUUCCGCUGGGGGGUCUUGGCACCCCGACCUUCGGGGGCUAAUUUUUGGGCGCGGCUGUGCCCGUGGCCUAUGUUUGGCACACGGAGGCCGCCCGCAAAGUCUGGGGCCAUUCCGAGUCCGGCGGACGAACUUCGCCCACGACCCCAACCAGGCUAUAGCCCACCCGUUUUUUGGCCAUUUUUCCGCUGGGGGGUCUUGGCGCCCCGACCUUCGGGGGCUAAUUUUUGGGCGCGGCUGUGUCCGUGGCCUAUUUUUGGCACACGGAGGCCGCCCGCAAAGUCUGGGGCCAUUCCGAGUCCGGCGGACGAACUUCGCCCACGCCCCCAACAAGGCUAUAGCCCACCCGUUUGUUGGCCAUUUUUCCGCUGGGGGGUCUUGGCAGCCCGACCUUCGGGGGCUAAUUUUUUGGCGCGGCUGUGCCCGUGGCCUAUUUUUGGCACACGGAGGCCGCCCGCAAAGUCUGGGGCCAUUCCGUGUCCGGCGGACAAACUUCGCCCACGCCCCCCGCCAAGGCUAUAGCCCACCCGUUUUUUGGCCAUUUUUCCGCUGGGGGGUCUAGGCUCCCCGACCUUCGGGGGCUAAUUUUUGGGCGCGGCUGUGCCCGUGGCCUAUUUUUGGCACACGGAGGCCGCCCGCAAAGUCUGGGUCCAUUCCGAGUCCGGCGGACGAACUUCGCCCACGCCCCCCGCCAAGGCUAUAGCCCACCCGUUUUUUGGCCAUUUUUCCGCUGGGGGGUCUUGGCAGCCCGACCUUCGGGGGCUAAUUUUUGGGCGCGGCUGUGCCCGUGGCCUAUUUUUGGCACACGGAGGCCGCCCGCAAAGUCUGGGGCCAUUCCGAGUCCGGCGGACGAAGUUCGCCCACGCCCCCAACAAGGCUAUAGCCCACCCGUUUGUUGGCCAUUUUUCCGCUGGGGGGUCUUGGCAGCCCGACCGUCGGGGGCUAAUUUUUGGGCGCGGCUGUGUCCGUGGGCUAUUUUUGGCACACGGAGGCCGCCCGCAAAGUCUGGGGCCAUUCCGAGUCCGGCGGACGAACUUCUCCCACGCCCCCAACAAGGCUAUAGCCCACCCGUUUUUUGGCCAUUUUUCCGCUGGGGGGUCUUGGCAGCCCGACCUUCGGGGGCUAAUUUUUGGGCGCGGCUGUGCCCGUGGCCUAUUUUUGGCACACGGAGGCCGCCCGCAAAGUCUGGGGCCAUUCCGAGUCCGGCGGACGAACUUCGCCCACGCCCCCCACCAAGGCUAUAGCCCACCCGUUUUUUGGCCAUUUUUCCGCUGGGGGGUCUUGGCAGCCCGACCUUCGGGGGCUAAUUUUUGGGCGCGGCUGUGCCCGUGGCCUAUUUUUGGCACACGGAGGCCGCCCGCAAAGUCUGGGGCCAUUCCGAGUCCGGCGGACGAACUUCGCCCACGCCCCCAACAAGGCUAUAACCCACUCGUUUUUUGGCCAUUUUUUCGCUGGGGGGGUCUUGGCCGGCCCGACCUUCGGGGGGCUAAUUUUUUGGGCGCGGCUGUGCCCGUGGCCUAUUUUUGGCAGACGGAGGCCGCCCGCAAAGUCUGGGGCCAUUUCGAGUCCGGCGGACGAACUUCGCCCACGCCCCCCGCCAAGGCUAUAGACCACCCGUUUUUUGGCCAUUUUUCCGAUGGGGGGUCUUGGCGCCCCGACCUUCGGGGGCUAAUUUUUGGGCGCGGCUGUGCCCGUGGCCUAUUUUUGGCACACUGAGGCCGCCCGCAAAGUCUGGGGCCAUUCCGAGUCCGGCGGACGAACUUCGCCCACGCCCCCCGCCAAGGCUAUAGCCCACCCGUUUUUUGGCCAUUUUUCCGCUGGGGGGUCUUGGCACCCCGACCUUCGGGGGCUAAUUUUUGGGCGCGGCUGUGCCCGUGGCCUAUUUUUGGCACACGGAGGCCGCCCGCAAAGUCUGGGGCCAUUCCGAGUCCGGCGGACGAACUUCGCCCACGCCCCCAACAAGGCUAUAGCCCACCCGUUUUUUGGCCAUUUUUCCGCUGGGGUGUCUUGGCGGCCCAACCUUCGGGGGCUAAUUUUUGGGCGCGGCUGUGCCCGUGGCCUAUUUUUGGCACACGGAGGCCGCCCGCAAAUUCUGGGGCCAUUCCGAGUCCGGCGGACGAACUUCGCCCACGCCCCCAACCAGGCUAUAGCCCACCCGUUUUUUGGCCAUUUAUCCGCGGGGGGGUCUUGGCGCCCCGACCUUGGGGGGUAAUUUUUGGGCGCGGCUGUGACCGUGGCUUAUUUUGGCACACGGAGGCCGCCCGCAAAGUCUGGGGCCAUUCCGAGUCCGGCGGACGAACUUCGCCCACGCCCCACGCCAAGGCUAUAGCCCACCCGUUUCUUGGCCAUUUUUCCGCUGGGGGGUCUUGGCAGCCCGACCUUCGGGAGCUAAUUUUUGGUCACGGCUGUGCCCGUGGCCUAUUUUUCGCACACGGAGGCCGCCCGCAAAGUCUGGGGCCAUUCCGAGUCCGGCGGACGAACUUCGCCCACGCCCCCCACCAAGGCUAUAGCCCACCCGUUUUUUGGCCAUUUUUCCGCUGGGGGGUCUUGGCGCCCCGACCUUCGGGGGCUAAUUUUUGGGCGCGGCUGUGCCCGUGGCCUAUUUUUGGCACACGGAGGCCGCCCGCAAAGUCUGGGGCCAUUCCGAGUCCGGCGGACGAACUUCGCCCACGCCCCCAACCAGGCUAUAGCCCACCCGUUUUUUGGCCAUUUUUCCGCUGGGGGGUCUUGGCGCCCCGACCUUCGGGGGCUAAUUUUUGGGCGCGGCUGUGACCGUGGCCUAUUUUUGGCACACGGAGGCCGCCCGCAAAGUCUGGGGCCAUUCCGAGUCCGGCGGACGAACUUCGCCCACGCCCCCAACGAGGCUAUAGCCCACCCGUUUUUUGGCCAUUUUUCCGCUGGGGGGUCUUGGCAGCCCGACCUUCGGGGGCUAAUUUUUUGGCGCGGCUGUGCCCGUGGCGUAUUUUUGGCACAAGGAGGCCGCCCGCAAAGUCUGGGGCCAUUCCGAUUCCGGCGAGCGAACUUCGCCCACGCCCCCAACAAGGCUAUAGCCCACCCGUUUUUUGGCCAUUUUUCCGCUGGGGUGUCUUGGCGGCCCAACCUUCGGGGGCUAAUUUUUGGGCGCGGCUGUGCCCGUGGCCUAUUUUUGGCACACGGAGGCCGCCCGCAAAUUCUGGGGCCAUUCCGAGUCCGGCGGACGAACUUCGCCCACGCCCCCAACCAGGCUAUAGCCCACCCGUUUUUUGGCCAUUUUUCCGCUGGGGGGUCUUGGCGCCCCGACCUUCGGGGGCUAAUUUUUGGGCACGGCUGUGACCGUGGCCUAUUUUUGGCACACGGAGGCCGCCCGCAAAGUCUGGGGCCAUUCCGAGUCCGGCGGACGAACUUCGCCCACGCCCCCCGCCAAGGCUAUAGCCCACCCGUUUUUUGGCCAUUUUUCCGCGUGGGGGGUCUGGGCACCCCGACCUUCGGGGGCUAAUUUUUGGCCACGGCUGUGCCCGUGGCCUAUUUUUGGCACACGGAGUCCGCCCGCAAAGUUAGGGACCAUUCCGAGUCGGGCGGAGGAGCUUCCCUCACCCCCCCAACAAGGCUAUAGACCACCCGUAUUUUGACCAUUUUUCAGCUGGGGGGUCUUGGCCCCCCCGACCUUCGGGAGUUAAUUUUUGGGCGCGGCUGUGCCCGUGGCAUAUUUUUGGCACACGGAGGCCGUCCGCAAAGUCUGGGGCCAUUCCGAGUCCGGCGGACGAACUUCGCCCACGCCCCCCACCAAGGCUAUAGCCCACCCGUUUUUUGGCCAUUUUUCCGCUGAGGGUUCUUGGCGCCCCGACCUUCGGGGGCUAAUUUUUGGGCGCGGCUGUGCCCGUGGCCUAUUUUUGGCACACGGAGGCCGCCCGCAAAGUCUGGGGCCAUUCCGAGUCCGGCGGACGAACUUCGCCCACGCCCCCCGCCAAGGCUAUAGCCCACCCGUUUUUUGGCCAUUUUCCGCUGGGGGGUCUAGGCGCCCCGACCUUCGGGGGCUAAUUUUUGGGCGCGGCAGUGCCCGUGGCCUAUUUUUGGCACACGGAGGCCGCCCGCAAAGUCUGGGGCCAUUCCGAGUCCGGCGGACGAACUUCGCCCACGCCCCCCGCCAAGGCUAUAGCCCACCCGUUUUUUGGCCAUUUUUCCGCUGGGGGGUCUUGGCACCCCGACCUUCGGGGGCUAAUUUUUGGGCGCGGCUGUGCCCGUGGCCUAUUUUUGGCACACGGAGGCCGCCCGCAAAGUCUGGGGCCAUUCCGAGUCCGGCGGAUGAACUUCGCCCACGACCCCAACCAGGCUAUAGCCCACCCGUUUUUUGGCCAUUUUUCCGCUGGGGGGUCUUGGCGCCCCGACCUUCGGGGGCUAAUUUUUGGGCGCGGCAGUGCCCGUGGCCUAUUUUUGGCACACGGAGGCCGCCCGCAAAGUCUGGGGCCAUUCCGAGUCCGGCGGACGAACUUCGCCCACGCCCCCCGCCAAGGCUAUAGCCCACCCGUUUUUUGGCCAUUUUUCCGCUGGAGGGUCUUGGCGCCCCGACCUUUGGGGGCUAAUUUUUGGGCACGGCUGUGCCCGUGGCCUAUUUUUGGCACACGGAGGCCGCCCGCAAAGUCUGGGGCCAUUCCGAGUCCGGCGGACGAACUUCGCCCACGCCCCCAACAAGGCUAUAGCCCACCCGUUUUUUGGCCAUUUUUCCGCUCGGGUGUCUUGGCGGCCCAACCUUCGGGGGCUAAUUUUUGGGCGCGGCUGUGCCCGUGGCCUAUUUAUGGCACACGGAGGCCGCCCGCAAAGUCUGGGGCCAUUCCGAGUCCGGCGGACGAACUUCGCCCACGCCCCCAACCAGGCUAUAGCCCACCCGUUUUUUGGCCAUUUUUCUGCUGGGGGGUCUUGGCGCCCCGACCUUCGGGGGCUAAUUUUUGGGCGCGGCUGUGACCGUGGCCUAUUUUUGGCACACGGAGGCCGCCCGCAAAGUCUGGGGCCAUUCCGAGUCCGGCGGACGAACUUCGCCCACGCCCCACGCCAAGGCUAUAGCCCACCCGUUUUUUGGCCAUUUUUCCGCUGGGGGGUCUUGGCAGCCCGACCUUCGGGAGCUAAUUUUUGGUCACGGCUGUGCCCGUGGCCUAUUUUUCGCACACGGAGGCCGCCCGCAAAGUCUGGGGCCAUUCCGAGUCCGGCGGACGAACUUCGCCCACGCCCCCCACCAAGGCUAUAGCCCACCCGUUUUUUGGCCAUUUUUCCGCUGGGGGGUCUUGGCGCCCCGACCUUCGGGGGCUAAUUUUUGGGCGCGGCUGUGCCCGUGGCCUAUUUUUGGCACACGGAGGCCGCCCGCAAAGUCUGGGGCCAUUCCGAGUCCGGCGGAUGAACUUCGCCCACGACCCCAACCAGGCUAUAGCCCACCCGUUUUUUGGCCAUUUUUCCGCUGGGGGGUCUUGGCGCCCCGACCUUCGGGGGCUAAUUUUUGGGCGCGGCUGUGCCCGUGGCCUAUUUUUGGCACACGGAGGCCGCCCGCAAAGUCUGGGGCCAUUCCGAGUCCGGCGGACGAACUUCGCCCACGCCCCCAACAAGGCUAUAGCCCACCCGUUUGUUGGCCAUUUUUCCGCUGGGGGGUCUUGGCAGCCCGACCUUCGGGGGCUAAUUUUUUGGCGCGGCUGUGCCCGUGGCCUAUUUUUGGCACACGGAGGCCGCCCGCAAAGUCUGGGGCCAUUCCGUGUCCGGCGGACAAACUUCGCCCACGCCCCCCGCCAAGGCUAUAGCCCACCCGUUUUUUGGCCAUUUUUCCGCUGGGGGGUCUAGGCUCCCCGACCUUCGGGGGCUAAUUUUUGGGCGCGGCUGUGCCCGUGGCCUAUUUUUGGCACACGGAGGCCGCCCGCAAAGUCUGGGUCCAUUCCGAGUCCGGCGGACGAACUUCGCCCACGCCCCCCGCCAAGGCUAUAGCCCACCCGUUUUUUGGCCAUUUUUCCGCUGGGGGGUCUUGGCAGCCCGACCUUCGGGGGCUAAUUUUUGGGCGCGGCUGUGCCCGUGGCCUAUUUUUGGCACACGGAGGCCGCCCGCAAAGUCUGGGGCCAUUCCGAGUCCGGCGGACGAACUUCGCCCACGCCCCCAACAAGGCUAUAGCCCACCCGUUUUUUGGCCAUUUUUCCGCUGGGGUGUCUUGGCGGCCCAACCUUCGGGGGCUAAUUUUUGGGCGCGGCUGUGCCCGUGGCCUAUUUUUGGCACACGGAGGCCGCCCGCAAAUUCUGGGGCCAUUCCGAGUCCGGCGGACGAACUUCGCCCACGCCCCCAACCAGGCUAUAGCCCACCCGUUUUUUGGCCAUUUUUCCGCUGGGGGGUCUUGGCGCCCCGACCUUCGGGGGCUAAUUUUUGGGCGCGGCUGUGACCGUGGCCUAUUUUUGGCACACGGAGGCCGCCCGCAAAGUCUGGGGCCAUUCCGAGUCCGGCGGACGAACUUCGCCCACGCCCCACGCCAAGGCUAUAGCCCACCCGUUUUUUGGCCAUUUUUCCGCUGGGGGGUCUUGGCAGCCCGACCUUCGGGAGCUAAUUUUUGGUCACGGCUGUGCCCGUGGCCUAUUUUUCGCACACGGAGGCCGCCCGCAAAGUCUGGGGCCAUUCCGAGUCCGGCGGACGAACUUCGCCCACGCCCCCAACCAGGCUAUAGCCCACCCGUUUUUUGGCCAUUUUUCCGCUGGGGGGUCUUGGCGGCCCGACCUUCNNNNNNNNNNNNNNNNNNNNNNNNNNNNNNNNNNNNNNNNNNNNNNNNNNNNNNNNNNNNNNNNNNNNNNNNNNNNNNNNNNNNNNNNNNNNNNNNNNNNUCGCCCACGCCCCCCACCAAGGGUAUAGCCCACCCGUUUUUUGGCCAUUUUUCCGCUGGGGGGUCUUGGCGCCCCGACCUUCGGGGGCUAAUUUUUUGGCGCGGCAGUGCCCGUGGCCUAUUUUAGGCACACGGAGGCCGCCCGCAAAGUCUGGGGGCCAUUCCGAGUCCGGCGGACGAACUUCGCCCACGCCCCCCGCCAAGGCUAUAGCCCACCCGUUUUUUGGCCAUUUUUCCGCUGGGGGGUCUUGGCACCCCGACCUUCGGGGGCUAAUUUUUGGGCGCGGCUGUGCCCGUGGCCUAUUUUUGGCACACGGAGGCCGCCCGCAAAGUCUGGGGCCAUUCCGAGUCCGGCGGACGAACUUCGCCCACGACCCCAACCAGGCUAUAGCCCACCCGUUUUUUGGCCAUUUUUCCGCUGGGGGGUCUUGGCGCCCCGACCUUCGGAGGCUAAUUUUUGGGCGCGGCUGUGCCCGUGGCCUAUUUUUGGCACACGGAGGCCGCCCGCAAAGUCUGGGGCCAUUCCGAGUCCGGCGGACGAAC
rnacentral:lncRNA from 1 species